ACAUACAUAUACAUACAGAGUACAACAUGCAGUGAAAUGCAGAAACUAAGUAAAUAAAAAUAUAAAAUAAACAAAAAAUAGAAAACGUAGCCGGAGCAGUCGUGACCGGCACCGUCUUGAUGACAACGAGUAACGCUGUGCAGAUCUACUGUGUAUUUUAUUUAUUAAUGUACAAAAAUAUACAAUAUUAUAAAUAUAAUCUAUAAAAAAUAUUUAUAAAGAGAUCACAUUUUUAGGCUUUAUGUGAUGAUGGAGGAAGCUGAUCUAAGGCACUUGGUGACGGCUGAGGGAACGCGCUUGAAUGUGAUCUUGUUCUGCUUCAGGAUCAGUUACAAAACAAAGCCCAGUUAUAAACUAAAAAUAAAAAUGGAUUCUGUUCCCCCAUGUGGUGAUUGCCCCAGAACACUCCAGUGGAAAGGAUACCCAAAAGUGCAAACCCUGAAAUGGGAGAUGCUCCCAAAAUUAUUAAGUAUUAUGUGGAUGCCAUCAUACCGAACAAUUUUAGGGGACAGCUGAAUCCAG